AAUCAACGCUGGCGGCGUGCCUCAGACAUGCAAGUCGAACGAUUAAACUUCCCUUCGGGGAAGAUAUAAAGUGGCGCACGGGUGAGUAACACGUAGGUAAUGUACCUUUGGGUGGGGAAUAACUUAGGGAAACUUAAGCUAAUACCGCAUAAUGCAGCGGCUCCUUCGGGAGACAGUUGUUAAAGAUUUAUCGCCUAAAGAGCAGCCUGCGGCAGAUUAGCUAGUUGGUAAGGUAACGGCUUACCAAGGCUACGAUCUGUAUCCGACCUGAGAGGGUGGUCGGACACACUGACACUGAGUAACGGCUCAGACUCCUACGGGAGGCAGCAGUCGGGAAUUUUGGGCAAUGGGCGAAAGCCUGACCCAGCAACGCCGCGUGAAGGAUGAAGUCUUUCGGGAUGUAAACUUCGUAAGAAUAGGAAGAAUAUAUGACGGUACGAUUUGUAAGAUCCGGCUAACUACGUG
rnacentral:rRNA from 1 species